GACGAACGCUGGCGGCGUGCUUAACACAUGCAAGUCGAACGGAAAGGCCCUGCUUUUGUGGGGUGCUCGAGUGGCGAACGGGUGAGUAACACGUGAGUAACCUGCCCUUGACUUUGGGAUAACUUCAGGAAACUGGGGCUAAUACCGGAUAGGAGCUCCUGCUGCAUGGUGGGGGUUGGAAAGCUUCGGCGGUUGGGGAUGGACUCGCGGCUUAUCAGCUUGUUGGUGGGGUAGUGGCUUACCAAGGCUUUGACGGGUAGCCGGCCUGAGAGGGUGACCGGCCACAUUGGGACUGAGAGACGGCCCAGACUCCUACGGGAGGCAGCAGUGGGGAAUAUUGCACAAUGGGCGGAAGCCUGAUGCAGCAACGCCGCGUGCGGGAUGACGGCCUUCGGGUUGUAAACCGCUUUCGCCUGUGACGAGGCGUGAGUGACGGUAAUGGGUAAAGAAGCACCGGCUAACUACGUG
rnacentral:rRNA from 1 species